rnacentral:rRNA from 1 species
GACGAACGCUGGCGGCGUGCUUAACACAUGCAAGUCGAGCGGUAAGGCCCUUUCGGGGGUACGACGAGCGGCGAACGGGUAGAGUAACACGUGGGUGACCUGCCCUCCAGCUCUGGGAGUAAGCCCGGGAAACCUAGGGUCUAAUACUGGAUAUUACUCUGCGGUGCAUGCCGUGGGGUGGAAAGCCUUGUGCGGCUGGGGAGUGGGCCCGCGGCCUAUCAGCUUGUUGGUGGGGUGAUGGCCUACCAAGGCGACGACGGGUAGCCGGCCUGAGAGGGCGACCGGCCACACUGGGACUGAGGCACGGCCCAGACUCCUACGGGAGGCAGCAGUGGGGAAUCUUGCGCAAUGGGCGAAAGCCUGACGCAGCGACGCCGCGUGAGGGAUGACGGCCU